rnacentral:misc_RNA from 1 species
GCUAAGAGAAAUAAGAAGAAAGACAAAGGACAGAAUUUUGGAAGAGAGGACUGUAUCUUAUUAGUCAAUUGAUGGAUGAUUUACAAAUACAAUGACCCUCCUAUUUAUACUACUCUAAUGACUAAGAGUAAAUAAAUGCUGCUAUACAAGUCCCUAAGUACAUGCACUCAAGACAUGUCUACAUUCCUAGAAUGUCUCUAACUCUUCCAAAAGGACUCCUAGAUUUCUCUUAGUCUGCCCCAAGAUUCUAGAAAGGCUUGAACAAGCCCCUCCAAGGCUCAAGGCUGCCUGCUUUCCGUCUGCUGCACACUUGGACCGCCUGCCCCUUCGUACGCUGGACUUUUGGGCCGCCUGUCCCCUUUCGCAUGCUGCAAUCUGCCUGGAUAGGUGGCGAUCCGCUUGGAUAGGUGACGGGACGUCACAAUCUCCAUGUAUUUGGUCAAAAACUCUAAAUGUAGCAGAACUUUUUUUAGAAAAAAGAGUGUUAAGGUUGAAUAUUU